rnacentral:lncRNA from 10 species
UUCAAAAGUACAAAGCUCUUUAGGAGGUUUGUUCUUUUGAAACAUUUUUUCAGAGGUUAAAAAUUAAAUUUCAAAAGAAUACCUGGAGUGGAAAAGAGUUCUCAGCAGAGACAAAGACCCCGAACACCUCCAACAUGAAGCUUCUUCAUGUUUUCCUGUUAUUUCUGUGCUUCCACUUAAGGUUUUGCAAGGUUUCAGUAGAAGAUU